GGGUGUAGCUCAGUGGGAGAGCACAUGCUUCGCACGCAGGAGGUCCUGGGUUCAAUCUCAGGUACGUCCA
rnacentral:tRNA from 1 species